GGUCCCAUGGUGUAGUUGGUUUUAUCACGUCAGACUAAUACACUGAAGGUUCUCAGUUCAAGCCUGGCUCGGAUCA